rnacentral:lncRNA from 10 species
GAGCAAACACUUGCAAAAGGUGAGGAAGAUAGCCAUCAUAGCUGAUGGAACAAGCAAAACAAAAGUCAUAAGGAAGAAUUGUACUCGUGUGUUUGAAGACAUCAAGGAAUCCGGGGCGAUAGACAUAGCAAGUGAGGGGAGGGUAUGAGAGGAAUUGGGUGGGAGGCACAGUGGGAGGCCAGGGCAUUUAAGAUGUUGAGGACUUUCGGCUUCAUGCAGCAUAACUGAGUAUAUUUAAGAAAGAAUGCUCAUUGAAUGUUCCCGUUACACCAUGCACUGAGAAUGUGAGACACUUGAGGGCAGGAGUGGAACUGUCUUCUUCACUAUUUCAAGGGCCAGGAAAGGGAGUGACAUUGAGAAGAGACUGAAUAAAAAGUUAUUAAAUGAAGGAAUGGAUUUAAAAGCACCCUGAUCUGCAGUGUACCUGAAACAGCAUAUACUUCAUAUCACAACUGUAGUAUCUUCAUCCUUGCUCAUGUUUUUUCCACUGCACUAAAGUGCUUCUUUAAAUAGAAGAAUCAAAAUAGUGGGAUUCAAUGAUAAGUAGAUGCUAUUUUGAAAUUUUAUUUUGAUUAGAAAUGGAUUGCAGUAAUAUUUUUACUUUCUGUGGAAUGGUUAUGUACAUAAUAAAUACUCUGCCU